CUUUGCCCACCAUAUGCUCUGAUCGGGUGCCAGCCUCAGAGAUGGGUCCCCUCUGUGGGACUGGGGGACACCCCCAUUGGUGGGUUGGGGUGCCUCCCCGGCUCGGAGAUCAUGGUGGCGGCUCCUCCCUGCCCCUGCUCUCCUUCCCUUCACUCCCUGUCCCAUCAUGUUAGCUUCUUGCCUUGCCUUUCUGUUCCUUGCUUGCGUUAUGAAAUAUGCAUGGACGUCGAGGUGUAAAUAAUAAAUGAGCACGAAGUGCCAGUGGGCCCACCGCUGGCCCCGAGCACAGGCGGGUGUCCUGGCCGCCAGCCCCACCGCCUCUCCCGGUUUUAUUCCCUGUCCCCAAAAGGGGAACUCUGUCCUGUGUUUCGAAUGGUUCAUUCGCUUGCUCUUCUUUAUGGUUGUGACUACUGCGUGUCUCCUCCAAACAGCGGGAUGAUUUACUUGCGUAUUUCUAACUCUAGUCGCAUAGACUCACACUGUAUUUUCUUCUGCACCUUUUUUUUCUUGUUUUAACUCUACGUUUUUUUUCCUGAGCUUCUUGCCUGCAGACUGUGGUUCAUUUCUUUUUUUUUUUUUUUUUUUUUUUUUUUUUUUUUUCUGUGGUUCAUUUCUUUUUAGUGCCGGGUAAAAUUCCAGUGUGGGAACGCACCAUGAACCCCCGUCCUCCAGUUGUAGGAUGUCAGGCUGCUGUAAACAUUGGGCUCUGGCCAGCUGACCUCUGAGGCACUGGCCAGAAGCCCCAGACUUGGAGGCCAUUGCUAGUUCUCUGCUUUUCUGCUGCUCCAGAAACAAGCCCCCCCCCCCUUCCCAGCACAGCUCCUCUUAGCAGCCAAGGAGCCCAGGAGAGCCUGCUUCCCCAGCCUUCAGGGGUUCCCACUGUUUCCUCUCAGGAGCAGCUAGCCGGGGGCAUCAACAAGAGUCACCCUGAUGGAAUGGUCCUCCAGGAACUGAUCCUUUCUUCUUGCCGGGGAAGUUUGUGUGCAGGUGGGGGUUGGCUGCCCUUCCCUGGCCCCAGCUCCCAGAGCCCCACCACCCAUAGCCAUGGUGAGUCUGACACUUCUGGGGCUCACAACUAUAUGGAGCCAGUGAUUGGGUCACUCAUGCAGGGAGAUGUGAAGCUACAUUUUUACCAGAAGAAGAGCUAUGUGUCCAUCCCAGUCCUGGGUGCUAAUUGGGACUUUUUAGUUUUGUUAGUUUGCCCCUUUUGGAGAGUGUGGGUUGCUGCCAUGUUAGAAAAGCUGCAUAGGGAUGGUCGGCAACCAUGCCAGGGCAGGAGUCUGCAGAAAGGGAGCAUCUGGUCAGGGCCACAUUUGGCUGCCAGAAGAAGACCUUGGUUCCUCGUCCCUGACCUGGGGGUGGGGCCAGCAUGUCAAAGCCUCCCUAGCAGGCAGGGGAGGCUCAUUCCCUUGAGGAGCCCUGUGUCCAUGAACCUGGCCCUUCUGUGCAUGACAGGGGGAAAGCCUUAUGGCUGGGGCACUGCCUUUGAUUCAAAGGCACAACUUCACUUAUUCAUUUAUUUGUAAGUAAUUUAUUGAGCAUGUCUUGUGUGCCAGGAACCACGCCAAGGGUUGUGCAGGGCAAACGGAACCUUGGGAAGUGACCUAAAUGCAAGGUGUUUGUAAUCUAGAUGAGACCACAGGACACGCGUCACUGCACACUGACUGAGCAGGGACCAGAGGAGGCUGUCAUGAAGCGGGAGGUUCAGAGGUGGGAAAGGAGUGCUGGCUGGUCAGGAGAGCCAGGGAAUCUUCGUGGGAUGCAGGACUUAGGCAAGGGAGAUAGUUUGGGUUUGCUGUUUAGCAAAUAUUCAUACACUGUCUCCCACCAUGGGCAGAGAAAGAACAGUAUUUUCCUUUCCCCAUUGCCAGGGUAGAUCAAGUGGCUUGUGUUGUUCAAUGGGAUGACAGUGGACAAGGCAUGAGCAGAGCACAUGCUUGGAUUCUGUGCUCCGGUGAUAUGGCAUGAACAGGACCACACCAGCCUGGGCUUUGGAUAAAUACACGGGGAGCAGACCUGGGCCCAUUCCACAGCCUAGAGUCAAGUUCAAGUGAUACACAGCCUGAGAUAGGGCUGCCCUGCUGAGCCCAUCUUUCACCAGCAGGAAGGAGAUCUGAGGUCAGAGUGAGGGCAAAUUCUUUUAUAAGCCACUGACUUUGGGGGUAGUUUGUUAGGCAGCAUUAUGUGGGUAGAAGCUGACUGAUGUACUGGGUCUAGAAGAUGGU
rnacentral:lncRNA from 1 species